ensembl:lncRNA
CAGGGACUUUCCUGGCAGUUCAGUGGUUAGGAUUCCAUGCUUCUACUGCAGAGAACAUGGGUUCAAUCCCUGGUAGGGGAAGAUACCGCAAGUCAUACAGCACGACCAAAAAGAAAAAACAAAAAACAAACAAACAAAAAAUCCCUUUUCCUCCCCCAACCACUUCUUCCCAAAGCUCCAACUGCUUUGCACCUCUGUUCUCCAUUUUCCCCAGAAAAACUCCCAGGCCCAGCCCCUGAACAGCCUCCUUUAUCCUGGCGCCCCCUUUCUCUUGGGAGUGGGGAGACAAAAUGUCGCAAAAGGAAACCUCGCUAGUGCGCAGGUGAGUCCUCUCACCUUGGUUUCUGCUUAUUGCUGUGGGCUGUAACCACCAUUUAUAACCUCGGUUUCUUUGAAAAACCCACUUAGGGGCUCCAGUGCGGUCCACAGCUGACAUCGCGUGGGCGGGAAAUAGGCCGAGGCAUCUACUCUUUGGAGACCUCUGCUCCUCCCUCCCAAUGACCCAUUGAUAACCAGGGACACGGGUCCCCAGCUCUGUCCCCUCCUAGACCUCGUCCCUUGCAGCCCCAUCAGCUGCCAGGACCCAGAUCCGCAGCAAGGGCACCUGGAGUUCUCCCGGUCCCAGGCAGAGCCCCCGCGAACCCUGGAACGCUGUUUCCUGCUGCUCCUCUUUCCCUCCUCCUGCUGUUCCUCCUCUCCUCCUGGCGCUCUGGCCCCCGCGGGUCGCUGACUUUCUCCGGCCUCCGCCCCUAGCCGCUACCGCCCCCUGGCAGCCGUCUCCAUGGUGCACACCAGACGCGGGAAGCCACCCGGCGGCGGUGGAGGGAGGCAGGGACCCGGCGCAUGAGGCAAGUUACAGUUCUCAGAAUCCAAGUGGAAUUUAACGCUAUGAAACAAUGCCAAGAGAAAAGCAAGGAAAACGAAAAACUAAAGGAGCACCCCAGUCCAUUGUUUCCAUUCUUCAAAAGUUCCUGAAAACAUACGAGAAGCGUUGUGUACAGACUCAGACGUCUGUGUGUCCAGCCAUCAAAAGGGACUUGAAAGCCAGCAUCAACCAUGAACGGAUUCUCAGGAAGUUUGUACUGGUAAGACCUGAUGACUCCCCGCCAGGCAUCCUACCAAUGUCCUUGGAAGCUUUGCUCAUGACUGUUCGGGAUGAGUGUUACAUGCUGGGGAGAGAGAUCUGCAUCUGGGGCUUUCAACUGAGCAACCCAGAGAUCGCCAGACUUGCUUUGCUUCUAGAAUCGAAGGGGCACACCCGCUGCCCGUUUACCACCCUGGAACUCAUUGACUGCAAGAUGGAUCCAUGGUCUCUGGGGAGGCUUGGGCAGGCUUUGCAUCUCAGCAGUCUGCAUGUUCUUGUCCUCGACUACUGCAGAUUUACACAUGAAGAAAUUGAGAGUAUUCUCUCAGGCCUGGAGAACAACCAAAGGCUUCAGAGCCUCAGUCUGCGCUACUGUGGUCUGGGGCCACAGAAUGGACCGAGGCUGGGCUCCAUCGUAUGCCACAGUGCCAUUCGUGAGCUGCACCUCGGUGGCAAUUACUUGCAAUGUUCUGGAGCUCUGGGUCUCCUCAGACCCCUGGCAGAGUAUGCAGAGAUGCAGGGGAAAGACCAACUGGCCAUUUCCCCACCAGACACCGGGAACCCCCCUCCGCUGCUCCAAGCCAGACAGAGAGGAAGUUCACCUCUGAACCAGAUUGCAGAGUCAUCCAGGGCUGUAACAGUGAAACAUACCUCAGGGAAGAAGAGAAAAAAAGGAAUCAAGAAAAAAAUUAAAGAUUUGAUUGAAACUGGUCCUUGGUUGGUGAAGUUGUAUUUAGCAGAUAAUGGUAUAGAUGGAAAGGGAAAAGAAGGAGAAAAUGACUUGUUGGAAUUAACUCAAAUAUUAACAUGCCUGAUCAAAUACUCUGUCCACUUAAAGGAGAUUGACCUUGGAAACAAUGUCCUGGGAGAAAAGGCUGCUGUUGACCUACUUGAAGCACUGAGAGCCAGAAAGACAGGUAAACUGCCAGUUUUAAAAAUUACAGUCACUCCCCAGAUCUCUUCAGACACCUUCAGAUCUAUUUGGAAAAACAGCAAGAAAUCUAGUAGUACUCAUAAAAAGAAGAAAAAGGCUAAAAACUGAAUACGAAUGCCAUGUAUCCAUAUGGAUUCUAUCUAUUUCCAUGGACAACUAGAUGCGCCUGGAAAAAUAUUGCUUGUAACCAAGUGGCUUGUAACCAAGUAUCACUGUAACCAAGCCCCUUUCAAGUUCUAAAAUUUGAUAAGCCUCUUUUAUGAAAGUUCAGAAUAGUGUUAGUCUUAUCAUGUUUAUCAUUUUCUAAAAUGUGGGUUUCACAAACAGGUCUUAGUAAAAAUAAGUGGAAUUCUUCUUUGGGGCUCUUGUGCAUGUCAAGUUUAUAAUUUGAAGGAAGUUAUGAUCUUUAUCUAGAAAAGAAAAAAAUCUUCUUUCAUAAAUGUAUCUAUGGUUGGGAGCAACAGGAAUUUGGGAAAUAACAACCACUUUCUGAAAGACAACAUCUCUAAAAAUAGGGAUCUUACCCCAAAUGAGGAAACCUCCGCUUACUGCAACCUAUACCCGCAUUAAAGUUUCAGACAGCUCCAUGGGCAAUGGAAGAGGUGUCAUGGAUCAAUAUAUUGAUGAUAAAUUGGGUUUGUUAAAUUGUACAUGUUGCAGGGAUAAAAAGCAUAGAUUGGGCAAUUAAAAUGAAACCAGAAUUCUCUGUGGAAACCUGCUGCUUUUCAGGUGACCUUGGGCAGGUCAGUUAACCUCACUGUGCCUCAGUUUCUCCUUACAUAAGAUACAGAUAAGAAGAGCACAUAGUCAUUUGGUGAGCAUUGAAUGAGGUGACACAUGUCAAGUAUUUUAAGAUAAUACCUGUUUCAUUGUAUGUUUUCAAAAAUUAAUAUUAAUGACUGGUAUUAUUGCUGAUGUUAGAAUUGAGUGAUUCCAGUUAUUUCACUUACAAUAGCUACACAAGAAAAAUAGAAAAAAAAAAAAAGGCUUAAGAUCUCUUCAUUUAGCACUUAGAAACUGCCAUUGAUUCUAUGUAUAAUGUAACAAGUUCUGGUAUGUUCCGGGCAAAAAUCUAAUUGUGGAGGUGAGGAUGGUUAUGGUAAAUUAUGUCCUCUCUUGAGGAUCUUAGCUCCUAGCAAGGAAGUCAGGAUCCUCAUUCAUUAAAAGUAAACAUUAGGGCAUGAGUUGAAAUAGUCAGGGUAAGCAAGCCUAUGGAAUAGUGACAGCAACUUAACAAAUCUCCAGAACUUAUAUAUCUGAUGUUAAGAUGUGUGAGGCUUCCUGGUAAAUUGUUUCUGCUAAAAAAAAAAAAUAGAACUUUUUAAAGAUUUGCCACUGACAUCCACGGGAUGGGAGUGUAAAAUCUGUGUGUUCAUUUAGGUGUAUUUUGACAAUGUCUAUCAAAAUGAAAACAAACAAACAACCUAUAGCCUUGACUCAGGCAUGCAUACAUUUAGGGGUCUUUUGACAAUGUCUAUCAAAAUGAAAAAAAAAAAAAAAACAACAUAGCCUUGACUUAGGCAUACAUACAUAUUUCCUUGCACAUGUCUGGAGUAUAUCUAUCUAUAGAAAUAUGUAUAUGCUGCUGCUGCUGCUGCUAAGUCGCUUCAGUCGUGUCCGACUCUGUGCGACCCCAUAGAUGGCAGCCCACCAGGCUCCCCCGUCCCUGGGAUUCUCCAGGCAAGAACACUGGAGUGGGUUGCCAUUUCCUUCAGUGCGUGAAAGUGAAGUCGCUCAGUCGUGUCUGACUCUUUGAGACCCCAUGGACUGCAGCCUACCAGGCUCCUCCAUCCAUGGGAUUUUCCAGGCAAGAGUACUGGAGUGGGGUGCCAUUGCCUUCUCCAUGUAUAUAGAAAUAUCUAAGGAAAUAUGUAUUAAGAUGUUUACAGCAGCACUAUUAAUUAUACAUUGGAAACAACUAAAUGUCUCUCAACUGGUUCUCAGAGACAUAAAUCACAGGAAAUGUAUAUAGUGGAAUACUGUGCGGUCAUUAGGAAGAACAACGUGCAUAUGAAAAAGCUUAUGUGGAGAGACGCGCUAGUCAUACUAUUAAACAAAAAGAGCAGCCUGGAGAAUAGUGAAUGUGAAAAUUUCACAUUAAAAUGAACUGGUAUAAUAUGAGUUGGCAAUUUCAUCUCUGGGUUUAUAUAUCCAAAAAAAUUGAAAGCAAGAUCACGAAGAGAUAAUUGUACACCUAUGUUCAUAAAGUGUUAUUCAUAAUAAUUAAAUGAUAGAAGCAACCCAUGUAUCCACUGAUGGAUGAAUAGAUCAGCAAAAUGUGGUCGAUACAUACAAUGGCAUAGUAUUCAGUUUUAAAAAGGAAGGAAAUUCUGACACAUGCUACAGCAUGGAUGAACCUGGAGGACUUUAUGCUGUGUACAUCAGUUACAAAAAGACAAACACUGUAUAAUUCCAAUUAUGUGAGGUACCUAGAUUAUUCAAACUCAGAAACAGAAAGGAAAAUGGUGGGUGCCAGAGGGACAAGGGCGAAAUGCAGAGUUGUUUAAUGGGUAUGGAAUACAGUUUCAGUUUGGGAAGAUGAAAAAGUUCUAGAGAUUGGUUGCUAACAAUGUGAAUAUACUUAAUGCUACUGAACUAUAUACACUUAAAAAUGGUUAGGAUGGGGGUUUCCCUGGUGGCUCAUGGGAAAAAGAAUCCACCCACCAAUGAAAGAGACAAUGGUUCCAUCCCUGAUCCAGGAAUAUCCCAUAUGCCGUGGAGCAACUAAGCCCAUGCACCCCAACUACUGAACCUAUGUUCUAGAGUCCAGGAGUCACAACUACUGAAGCCCUUGCACCCUAGAGUCUGUGCCACACAGCAAGAGAAGCCACUGCAGUGAGAAGCCCGGCACUGCAACUGGAAGAGCCCCCGCCUGCAAAGAAGACCCGGCACAGCCAAAAAUAAGUAAGUAAAUAAAGUUUAAAUCUUUAGGAUGGUAAACUCUACG